rnacentral:rRNA from 1 species
GACGAACCGAGCGAACGUUGUUCGGAAUCACUGGGCUUAAAGGGCGCGUAGGCGGGCGAUCAAGUCGGUGGUGAAAUCCUACAGCUUAACUGUAGAACUGCCUCCGAUACUGGUUGUCUCGAGGAAGGUAGGGGCGUGCGGAACAGUUGGUGGAGCGGUGAAAUGCGUUGAUAUCAACUGGAACUCCGGUGGCGAAGGCGGCACGCUGGACCUUUUCUGACGCUGGGGCGCGAAAGCCAGGGGAGCGAACGGG